rnacentral:rRNA from 1 species
UCUACGGGAGGCAGCAGUGGGGAAUAUUGGGCAAUGGGCGAAAGCCUGACCCAGCAACGCCGCGUGAGUGAAGAAGGCUUUCGGGUUGUAAAGCUCUGUUAUAGGGGACGAAGGAAGUGACGGUACCCUAUAAGGAAGCCCCGGCUAACUACGUGCCAGCAGCCGCGGUAAUA